CUUCAGCGCGCCGAGCAGCAGCGGCCGGUCGGCGGGCCGGUCCUGGCCGUACGUGGCGAGGAGUGCCUGGGCCUC
rfam:Streptomyces alboflavus strain MDJK44, complete genome.